rnacentral:rRNA from 2 species
GGAAUAUUGCACAAUGGGCGAAGCCUGAUGCAGCUAUACCGCGUGUAUGAAGAAGGCCUUAGGGUUGUAAAGUACUUUCGUUGGGGAGGAAAAAUAAAUAGAUAAUACCUGUUUAUCGUGACGUUACCCAAAAAAGAAGCACCGGCUAACUCCGUGCCAGCAGCCGCGGUAAUACGGAGGGUGCAAGCGUUAAUCAGAAUUACUGGGCGUAAAGAGCUCGUAGGCGGUUUUUUAAGUCAGAUGUGAAAUCCCUGGGCUUAACCUAGGAACUGCAUUUGAAACUAAAAGACUAGAGUAUCGUAGAGGGAGGUAGAAUUCUAGGUGUAGCGGUGAAAUGCGUAGAUAUCUGGAGGAAUACCUGUGGCGAAAGCGGCCUCCUAAAUGAAUACUGACGCUGAGGUGCGAAAGCAUGGGGAGCAAACAGGAUUAGAUACCCUGGUAGUCCAUGCCGUAAACGAUGUCGACUUGGAGGUUGUUUCCUUGAGAAGUGACUUCCGAAGCUAACGCGUUAAGUCGACCGCCUGGGGAGUACGGUCGCAAGGCUAAAACUCAAAUGAAUUGACGGGGGCCCGCACAAGCGGUGGAGCAUGUGGUUUAAUUCGAUGCAACGCGAAAAACCUUACCUGGUCUUGACAUCCACAGAAUUUUUCAGAGAUGAAAAAGUGCCUUAGGGAACUGUGAGACAGGUGCUGCAUGGCUGUCGUCAGCUCGUGUUGUGAAAUGUUGGGUUAAGUCCCGCAACGAGCGCAACCCUUAUCCUCUGUUGCCAUUGGUUCGGCCAGGAACUCAGAGGAGACUGCCGGUUAUAAACCGGAGGAAGGCGGGGACGACGUCAAGUCAUCAUGGCCCUUACGACCAGGGCUACACACGUGCUACAAUGGUGUAUACAAAGAGAAGCAACUCUGCAAAGACAAGCAAACCUCAUAAAGUACAUCGUAGUC